ensembl:lncRNA
GUCGGAGGCGACGUGUGACCUUAAAUAAAUGGAGAAAGAAGAAAAAAAGGCUCUUUGAAGAGUUAACAUCUGGCAGACCGCAGUGACUUAACUGAUUGGUCCUGCGGCAUUGCAACUUUGCAGCAGGUUAUGACACCCGGAAUGCUGAUUGGGUUGUGGUAUUGGUAUUGGUACUGAUCUGGUAUUGGGUUGUGUCCAAAAACAAGCUUGUUGGUUUGUAGAUAAUGGACACAAACACACAAAAGACUUCAUAAAGAUAUACGGCACAUGACACUGACCUUUAUAAUCUUUUUGUAUAUAUCUUUUCAAUUUGAAAAAUGCCUUUUCUCACUCCCAGCUAUGCUUUCUACAAUACCGUACCCUCAGUAAGGGAACUUUAUAUAGCUUCGGAGGAUCUUCAGCUCAACAAGAUUAUUGUGACCGUGGUGUUACUAACAAAUCAUUAGCAAUAGACAUUUGGGUAUUUGGGGUCUGAGGUGGGGUCUGAAAUCUCGACCCGCUACUUUGUAUGCCGUGUUCCCUCCUCAUUCAACUCCAUUCUCGUUAUCUGCAAUGUAAGACACUAACCUCAAGCGAACUGCAACCCAUCACAAAUGGAUGUACUGAUGCAUUUAUACAGCCCAGAAUCAGGCCAUUGCCUUGCGAUGUAUUUUCAGAAUGCAGGGGUUUUCUGUAUUCUGUACUGAUUCAUCGACCAAGUGGCUUUGAAACAAUGAUUCUUAUCGUCCAACCAAAAUAAUCUAAGGGCCGAGGAUGAUUUCAUUGCAAGCUGUGGAUAUUGACACGCCCUUCCACCAAGCCAGCUUCGAUAAAGGCCAGAGAGACUUAGAGAGAGAGAAGAAAGAAAAUUAACGCACUCCAGAGUUGACUCACAUAACUGCACUGGAAAAGCUUGGAAGUGGGUGACAAGAAGCUAGAAGUGAAAGGGGGGGGCAGCUUUUUGGUACUUUUGUGGCAGUCCUCACGUUUCUGUUGCUGGGUGUGUGGGCAGACAGACGUGUGGGCGGGGGGGCGGGCGCUUUGGCCCAGAAAAAUAUGAGCUCAUCCAAAUGAGAACCGCCCGGGGUAUAUCCUCUACUAGAAUGGUACUAAAUUUGUCUGCACAGCCUUUCAGAACAAGUUAAUGCAACAGACCAG